UUAGGAAUAUUGGGCAAUGGAGGAAACUCUGACCCAGCAACGCCGCGUGAAGGAAGAAGGUUUUCGGAUUGUAAACUUCUGAUCUGUGGGAAAAAGAAAGUGAUGGUACCACAGGAGAAAGCCACGGCUAACUACGUGCCAGCAGCCGCGGUAAUACGUAGGUGGCGAGCGUUGUUCGGAAUAACUGGGCGUAAAGGGAGCGUAGGUGGUUGUUUAAGUUAAAUGUGAAAUCCCGGGGCUCAACUUCGGAACUGCAUUUAAUACUGGACGACUAGAGUACAGGAGGGGUAAGCGGAAUUCCUAGUGUAGCGGUGGAAUGCGUAGAUAUUAGGAAGAACACCGGAGGCGAAGGCGGCUUACUGGACUGAAACUGACACUGAGGCUCGAAAGCGUGGGGAGCAAACAGG
rnacentral:rRNA from 1 species